rnacentral:rRNA from 1 species
AGAGUUUGAUCAUGGCUCAGAACGAACGUUGGCGGCGUGGAUUAGGCAUGCAAGUCGAACGAAUCCCAGUCUUGUAGCAAUACCGGUCUGGGGGAAGUGGCGAAAGGGGCAGUAAUACAUGGGCAACCUACCCCGGGGACGGGGAUAGCCAUUCUAACGAGUGGGUAAUACCUGGCGAUUUGGUUGAGGGGCAUCUCUUGACCAGGAAAUGAAUUUCGCCUCGGGAGGGGCUCAUGCGAUAUUAGCUAGUUGGUGGGGUAACGGCCCACCAAGGCAAAGAUGUCUAGCGGGUGUGAGAGCACGACCCGCGCCACUGGCACUGAGACACUGGCCAGACACCUACGGGUGGCUGCAGUCGAGGAUCUUCGGCAAUGGGCGCAAGCCUGACCGAGCGACGCCGCGUGGACGAUGAAGGCCUUCGGGUUGUAAAGUCCUGUCGAGGGGGAGGAAAGCCGAAAGGUUUGACCUAUCCCUGGAGGAAGCACGGGCUAAGUUCGUGCCAGCAGCCGCGGUAAGACGAACCGUGCGAACGUUGUUCGGAAUCACUGGGCUUAAAGGGCGCGUAGGCGGCUUGCCAAGUCAGUGGUGAAAUCCUGCAGCUUAACUGUAGAAGUGCCUUUGAUACUGGCUAGCUCGAGGGAGGUAGGGGUCUGUGGAACUUCUGGUGGAGCGGUGAAAUGCGUUGAUAUCAGAAGGAACGCCGGUGGCGAAAGCGACGGACUGGACCUCUUCUGACGCUGAGGCGCGAAAGCUAGGGGAGCAAACGGGAUUAGAUACCCCAGUAGUCC